ensembl:lncRNA
AAUUGUUUUGGCAAAGUUUACAGGUAAUUUUUGAGAUACUUUGUAGUCACGUUGUUCAAGUUGGAACCGGUAUUUUUCUGGAUCAAAUAAAUGGACAUUUUGGACGGAAUGAAUUUUUUUUAAAGGACCAUUUGUGAUGUUUAUGGGACAUAUUGGAGUGCCAACAAAAGAAGACUACUACUCCCUGUAUCCAGAGGUUUGUAGGCUGAACACCACCACCUCAGACACUGAGACACAGAGUGGCAAGUGAAGUCUUCAGCGAUACUAGACCGUAAUUCUCUAAUGCAAAAGUUCAAACAAUUCAGCAAGGACUGGGACUUCGUCCACGCUACGUCAAGUCCCCACUUCCCACAAUCGAACGGACUAGUGGAGAGAUCUGUUCAGACAGUGGAGAGACUGAUGUACAACGCAAAAGACGGUGGAACUGAAUGGGGGUUUUCCCCAGCACACCUCCUCAUGGGAUGCAGACUGAGGACCAACUGACCCAUCACUGAGAACCUCCUAAAAACAAAAGACAGAGAGAAAGUGAGGAAGUUCAAAGAACAACCGAAAACAAAUCAAAAGUUCUACUAUGACAGAGGGACAAGAAACCUAUCUGAUCUCCAACCUGGUGACAACAUGUGGUACAAAGAUGAAACAAAGGCAUGGGCACAAAAAGGAACAGGUACUGAAGCACAGCUAAGGUCAUACAACAUACGAACAGACUAUGGAGAAAUCGCUGUGAUCUUCUAAUCUAAGGGGUCCAGCAAUAGACAGUUGUGACACUGUUGAAGAGGCUGAAAGCACAGUUCUGGCAGGAGCGCAGCAUGAUGAACAAAUGAUCAGAAGAUCGACACGGCAAGGUGAAAGCAGAGUGUUCAGAAUGGCGGGUCGGUGUGUUCCCUGGCCUGAUCUCUCCAUCACUCAACCUGUCAUCAGCCAUGCCUGCCUGACCUUGUUAGGCCAGCGCUUCUCUCCCGCUCACCCCCCUCACCCCAGCCUCAUCCCCAUUGACUAUGUAGCUCUGAUAUGUCAGGGGGAUGAUGAGUGUGUGUCCCUGUUGAAGUGACUUUGGGAGAGAGCGCGCCAGCGGAGUUUUGUUGUCUGUGACUCUGGUAGUAUGUGUGACAAUAUUUAUAUUGGUCAAGUUCAUGGAAGCCUGCUGUGAUCAGGUUUCCCCCAUACAAGCUAUUAAUGGUCCCCAUGGAAACCCUCUUUUCAACACAAGUAGGGGAUCAAACAAAGUGUCAGGAGUUUCGGUCGUGAUAUUCACUCAUCUUUGUUGCAAUGCCUUUUGAUGUAGCAAUAUAAUUGUCUACUCUAGUUUCUUAAUCCUGCACGGUCCUUCAGGUCCCACAGCACAUUUCUGCUUCAGCCCAUCACCUAAUUCAACUACCCAACCUAACGUAAGCCCUUGAUUAGCAUGAUAAGGUGUGUGUUAGUGCUGGGCACGAUCAAAAUAUGCACCCCUGUGGGUUCCCAGGACCAGGAUUAAGAACCCCAUGAAUACAGAAAUACAGUGGGGGAAAAAAGUAUUUAGUCAGCCACCAAUUGUGCAAGUUCUCCCACUUAAAAAGAUAAGAGAGGCCUGUAAUUUUCAUCAUAGGUACACUUCAUAGGUACACUUCAACUAUGACAGACAAAAUGCAAAUUAUGGUGGAAAAUAAGUUUUUGGUCAAUAACAAAAGUUUAUCUAAAUACUUUGUUAUAUACCCUUUGUUGGCAAUGACAGAGGUCAAACGUUUUCUGUAAGUCUUAACAAGGUUUUCAUACACUGUUGCUGGUAUUUUGGCCCAUUCCUCCAUGCAGAUCUCCUCUAGAGCAGUGAUGUUUUGGGGCUGUUGCUGGGCAACACGGACUUUCAACUCCCUCCAAAGAUUUUCUAUGGGGUUGAGAUCUGGAGACUGGCUAGGCCACUCCAGGACCUUGAAAUGCUUCUUACGAAGCCACUCCUUCGUUGCCCGGGUGGUGUGUUUGGGAUCAUUGUCAUGCUGAAAGACCCAGCCACGUUUCAUCUUCAAUGCCCUUGCUGAUGGAAGGAGGUUUUCACUCAAAAAUCUCACGAUACAUGGCCCCAUUCAUUCUUUCCUUUACACGGAUCAGUCGUCCGGGUCCCUUUGCAGAAAAACAGCCCCAAAGGAUGAUGAUUCCACCCCCAUGCUUCACAGUAGGUAUGGUGUUCUUUGGAUGCAACUCAGCAUUCUUUGUCCUCCAAACACGACGAGUUGAGUUUUUUCCAAAAGGUUCUAUUUUGGUUUCAUCUGACCAUAUGACAUUCUCCCAAUCUUCUUCUGGAUCAUCCAAAUGCUCUCUAGCAAACUUCAGAUGGGCCUGGACAUGUACUGGCUUAAGCAGGGGGACACGUCUGGCACUGCAGGAUUUGAGUCCCUGGCGGCGUAGUGUGUUACUGAUGGUAGGCUUUGUUACUUUGGUCCCAGCUCUCUGCAGGUCAUUCACUAGGCCCCCCGUGUGGUUCUGGGAUUUUUGCUCACCGUUCUUGUGAUCAUUUUGACCCCACGGGGUGAGAUCUUGCAUGGAGCCCCAGAUCGAGGGAGAUUAUCAGUGGUCUUGUAUGUCUUCCAUUUCCUAAUAAUUGCUCCCACAGUUGAUUUCUUCAAACCAAGCUACUUACCUAUUGCAGAUUCAGUCUUCCCAGCCUGGUGCAGGUCUACAAUUUUGUUUCUGGUGUCCUUUGACAGCUAUUUGGUCUUGGCCAUAGUGGAGUUUGGAGUGUGACUGUUUGAGGUUGUGGACAGGUGUCUUUUAUACUGAUAACAAGUUCAAACAGGUGCCAUUAAUACAGGUAACGAGUGGAGGACAGAGGAGCCUCUUAAAAAAGAAGUUACAGGUCUGUGAGAGACAGAAAUCUUGCUUGUUUGUAGGUGACCAAAUACUUAUUUUCCACCAUAAUUUGCAAAUAAAUUCAUUAAAAUUCCUACAAUGUGAUUUUCUGGAUUUUUUUCUUCUCAUUUUGUCUGUCAUAGUUGAAGUGUACCUAUGAUGAAAAUUACAGGCCUCUCUCAUCUUUUUAAUUGGGAGAACUUGCACAAUUGGUGGCUGACUAAAUACUUUUUUGCCCCACUGUAUGUGUGACCUUUAGCUACAAGGAACUCUGGACAGUGAUACAGGCCGUGCAAGCUUUUCAGCCCAACACUAGCAUGCCUCAUUCAAUCUAGACCACGAUAAAUUGGUGUACAGUUAGAUCUGGGCUGAAACAAAAGCCUGCACACACUGCUGCUCUUCCGAAACCCAAAAUUGGCCACUUCUGAGCUGAGACCACACUCACCAACUACACUGUUGUUGUCUGGUGAAUAUAGCAUAUCUAAUAAGUUGAAGUAUCAUACACACUCAUUCAUAGAAUCUACCCUGUAAAGAACUUUAUUAUACAUAUAUUAUUUAUUAAAAUAGAUAUUGAUAACAAAUGUGGACUUUGUGGUUGUGACCCAGAAACUCUUGACCAUUUAUUUUAAGACUGUUUUUAUGUCAGAAGUUUUUGUAGUGAGUUAGAAGAUUUUAUUUGAAAAUAAACAACUAUGAACGUUAAUCUGAGAGACUCUGAUGUUAUGUUUUAUUUUGAUCUAAAUGAUAUGGAUCCUGAUUUAACUUUCAUUGUUCAUGUGUUUAUUUUUCAUGGAAGAUUCUUUAUCCAUAAAAUAAAGUCGGCAGAGACCAAACCCCUCUUCACAUUAUUUAAGAUAGAAUUGAAAUAUCAUUUUGAAAUGAUCAGUAAAUGUAAAAACAAAAAUGCAAAACACACCAUAAAACUUUUAGACAAAUGAAAAAUGUAUUUGAUAUGUAAUACCUCUGUCUGUUAGGUUGAUGUACUCUUGUUU